AUUCCGGUUGAUCCUGCCGGACCCGACUGCUAUUUGGGUGAGGAUAAGCCAUGCGAGUUGGAUGGGAUACCUAAACUUCCCAUAGCAAACUGCUUAGUAACGCAUGAUCAACUUGCCCUAUGGAGAAAAAUAACCUCGGGAAACUGAGGAUAAUGUUUCAUAGUUGAAUAGGCUUGGAAAAGUUUUUCAAUGAAAGGAAUAAGAUAAAUGGAUCUUAUUUGCCAUAGGAUAGGAUCGUGGUCGAUUAUGGUAGUUGGUGAGAUAACGGCUCACCAAGCCUAUAAUCGAUAGGGGCCGUGAGAGCGGGAGCCCCAAGAUGGGUACUGAGACAGCGACCCAGGCCUUACGAGGCGCAGCAGGCGCGAGACCUUCGCAAUACACGAAAGUGUGACGGGGUUACCCAAAGUGUUCUCUUAAGAACUGUGGCAGGUGAGUAAUGUCCCCUGCUAGAAAGGAGAGGGCAAGGCUGGUGCCAGCCGCCGCGGUAAAACCAGCUCUUCAAGUGGUCGGGAUAAUUAUUGGGCUUAAAGUGUCCGUAGCCGGUUUAGUAAGUUCCUGGUAAAAUCGGGUAGCUUAACUAUCUGCAUGCUAGGAAUACUGCUAUACUAGAGGGCGGGAGAGGUCUGAGGUACUACAGGGGUAGGGGUGAAAUCUUAUAAUCCUUGUAGGACCACCAGUGGCGAAGGCGUCAGACUGGAACGCGCCUGACGGUGAGGGACGAAAGCCAGGGGAGCGAACCGGAUUAGAUACCCGGGUAGUCCUGGCCGUAAACGAUGCAUACUAGGUGAUGGUACGGCCAUGAGCCGUAUCAGUGCCGUAGGGAAACCGUUAAGUGUGCCGCCUGGGAAGUACGGUCGCAAGGCUAAAACUUAAAGGAAUUGGCGGGGGAGCACCACAAGGGGUGAAGCCUGCGGUUCAAUUGGACCCAACGCCGGGAAACUUACCAGGGGAGACAGUAGAAUGACGGUCAGGUUGACGACCUUACCUGAUGAGCUGAGAGGAGGUGCAUGGCCGUCGCCAGUUCGUGCCGUGAGGUAUCCUGUUGAGUCAGGCAACGAACGAGAUCCGCGCCUUUAUUUGCCAACAAGAAGUUACGACUUCGUUGGGAACACUAAAGGGACCGCCGUCGAUAAGACGGAGGAAGGAGCGGGCAAAGGCAGGUCAGUAUGCCCCGAAACCCCUGGGCUACACGCGGGCUGCAAUGGUAUGAACAAUGGGCUGUAACUCCGAAAGGAGAAACCAAUCCCGAAAUCAUAUCACAGUGGGGAUUGUUGGCUGUAACCCGCCGACAUGAACGUGGAGUCCCUAGUAAUCGUGUGUCAUCAUCGCACGGUGAAUACGUCUCUGCUCCUUGCACACACCGCCCGUCGCUCCAUCCGAGUGUACUAAAAAUGAGGUUUGGUCAGACUGGUCAUAUCGAGUUUCUAGUAUGCGAGGAGGGAGAAGUCGUAACAAGGUAGCCGUAGGGGAACCUGCGGCUGGAUCACCUCC
rnacentral:rRNA from 1 species